rnacentral:rRNA from 1 species
AGAGUUUGAUCCUGGCUCAGGAUAAACGCUGGCGGCGCACAUAAGACAUGCAAGUCGAACGAACUUAAUUUGAAAGUUUACUUUUGAAAGCGGUUAGUGGCGGACUGGUGAGUAACGCGUAAGCAAUCUGCCUAUCAGAGGGGAAUAACAGUGAGAAAUCACUGCUAAUACCGCAUAAGCUGUGAGGAGCACAUGCUCUAAAUAGAAAAGGAGCAAUCCGCUGAUAGAUGAGCUUGCGUCUGAUUAGUUAGUUGGUGAGGUAACGGCCCACCAAGACGAUGAUCAGUAGCCGGACUGAGAGGUUGAACGGCCACAUUGGGACUGAGAUACGGCCCAGACUCCUACGGGAGGCAGCAGUCGGGAAUAUUGCGCAAUGGAGGAAACUCUGACGCAGUGACGCCGCGUGCAGGAAGAAGGUUUUCGGAUUGUAAACUGCUUUAGACAGGGACGAAAUAAAUGACGGUACCUGUAGAAUAAGCUCCGGCUAACUACGUGCCAGCAGCCGCGGUAAUACGUAGGGAGCAAGCGUUAUCCGGAUUUAUUGGGUGUAAAGGGUGCGUAGACGGAAAGACAAGUUAGUUGUGAAAUACCUCGGCUUAACUGAGGAACUGCAACUAAAACUAUCUAUCUUGAGUACUGGAGGGGAAAGCGGAAUUCCUAGUGUAGCGGUGAAAUGCGUAGAUAUUAGGAAGAACACCGGUGGCGAAGGCGGCUUUCUGGACAGUAACUGACGUUGAGGCACGAAAGUGUGGGGAGCAAACAGGAUUAGAUACCCUGGUAGUCCACACCGUAAACGAUGGAUACUAGGUGUAGGUGAUGAUAAGUCAUCUGUGCCGUCGCAAACGCAGUAAGUAUCCCACCUGGGGAGUACGGCCGCAAGGUUGAAACUCAAAGGAAUUGACGGGGGCCCGCACAAGCAGUGGAGUAUGUGGUUUAAUUCGACGCAACGCGAAGAACCUUACCAAGGCUUGACAUAUAGAUGAAUUAAUAAGAGAUUAUUAAGUCCUUCGGGACAUCUAUACAGGUGGUGCAUGGUUGUCGUCAGCUCGUGUCGUGAGAUGUUAGGUUAAGUCCUGCAACGAGCGCAACCCCUGUUUCUAGUUGCCAGCAUGUAAAGAUGGGAACUCUAGAAAGACUGCCGGUAAUAAAUCGGAGGAAGGUGGGGAUGACGUCAAAUCAUCAUGCCCUUUAUGUCUUGGGCUACACACGUACUACAAUGGCUGCGACAGAGAGAAGCGACAUAGUGAUAUGAAGCAAAACUCUAAAAACAGUCUCAGUUCGGAUUGAAGGCUGAAAUUCGCCUUCAUGAAGUCGGAAUUGCUAGUAAUGGCAGGUCAGCAUACUGCCGUGAAUACGUUCCCGGGCCUUGUACACACCGCCCGUCACACCAUGAGAGUUAGGAAUACCCGAAGCCUGUGAGCCAACUAAUCUUAGAGGCAGCAGUCGAAGGUAGAACUAAUGAUUGGGGUGAAGUCGUAACAAGGUAGCCGUAUCAGAAGGUGCGGCUG